rnacentral:rRNA from 1 species
GGUUAAGCGAACAAGCGUACACGGUGGAUGCCCUGGCAGUCAGAGGCGAUGAAGGACGUGCUAAUCUGCGAAAAGCGCCGGUAAGGUGAUAUGAACCGUUAUAACCGGCGAUGUCCGAAUGGGGAAACCCGGUGCACUUCGGUGCAUCAUCGUUAGCUGAAUACAUAGGCUAACGAGGCGAACCGGGGGAACUGAAACAUCUAAGUACCCCGAGGAAAAGAAAUCAACCGAGAUUCCCCCAGUAGCGGCGAGCGAACGGGGAACAGCCCAGAGCCUGAAUCAGCUUGUGUGUCAGUGGAACGGUCUGGAAAGGCCGGCGAUACAGGGUGACAGCCCCGUACACGAAGGCACACAGGCUGUGAGCUCGAUGAGUAGGGCGGGACACGUGAUAUCCUGUCUGAAGAUGGGGGGACCAUCCUCCAAGGCUAAAUACUCCUGACUGACCGAUAGUGAACCAGUACCGUGAGGGAAAGGCGAAAAGAACCCCGGCGAGGGGAGUGAAACAGAACCUGAAACCGUGUACGUACAAGCAGUGGGAGCCUUCGUAAGAGGGUGACUGCGUACCUUUUGUAUAAUGGGUCAGCGACUUAUAUUCUGUAGCAAGGUUAACCGUAUAGGGGAGCCGAAGGGAAACCGAGUCUUAAUUGGGCGUUAAGUUGCAGGGUAUAGACCCGAAACCCGGUGAUCUAGCCAUGGGCAGGUUGAAGGUUGGGUAACACUAACUGGAGGACCGAACCGACUAAUGUUGAAAAAUUAGCGGAUGACCUGUGGCUGGGGGUGAAAGGCCAAUCAAACCGGGAGAUAGCUGGUUCUCCCCGAAAGCUAUUUAGGUAGCGCCUCGUGAACUCAUCUCCGGGGGUAGAGCACUGUUUCGGCUAGGGGGCCAUCCCGGCUUACCAACCCGAUGCAAACUGCGAAUACCGGAGAAUGUUAUCACGGGAGACACACGGCGGGUGCUAACGUCCGUCGUGAAGAGGGAAACAACCCAGACCGCCAGCUAAGGUCCCAAAGUCAUGGUUAAGUGGGAAACGAUGUGGGAAGGCCCAGACAGCCAGGAUGUUGGCUUAGAAGCAGCCAUCAUUUAAAGAAAGCGUAAUAGCUCACUGGUCGAGUCGGCCUGCGCGGAAGAUGUAACGGGGCUAAACCAUGCACCGAAGCUGCGGCAGCGACACUAUGUGUUGUUGGGUAGGGGAGCGUUCUGUAAGCCUGUGAAGGUGUGCUGUGAGGCAUGCUGGAGGUAUCAGAAGUGCGAAUGCUGACAUAAGUAACGAUAAAGCGGGUGAAAAGCCCGCUCGCCGGAAGACCAAGGGUUCCUGUCCAACGUUAAUCGGGGCAGGGUGAGUCGACCCCUAAGGCGAGGCCGAAAGGCGUAGUCGAUGGGAAACAGGUUAAUAUUCCUGUACUUGGUGUUACUGCGAAGGGGGGACGGAGAAGGCUAUGUCGGCCGGGCGACGGUUGUCCCGGUUUAAGCGUGUAGGCUGACUUUCCAGGCAAAUCCGGAAGGUUAAGGCUGAGGCGUGAUGACGAGGCACCACGGUGCUGAAGUGACAAAUGCCCUGCUUCCAGGAAAAGCCUCUAAGCAUCAGGUAACAUCAAAUCGUACCCCAAACCGACACAGGUGGUCAGGUAGAGAAUACCAAGGCGCUUGAGAGAACUCGGGUGAAGGAACUAGGCAAAAUGGUGCCGUAACUUCGGGAGAAGGCACGCUGACAUGUAGGUGAAGCCCCUGCGGGUGGAGCUGAAGUCAGUCGAAGAUACCAGCUGGCUGCAACUGUUUAUUAAAAACACAGCACUGUGCAAACACGAAAGUGGACGUAUACGGUGUGACGCCUGCCCGGUGCCGGAAGGUUAAUUGAUGGGGUUAUCGCAAGAGAAGCUCCUGAUCGAAGCCCCGGUAAACGGCGGCCGUAACUAUAACGGUCCUAAGGUAGCGAAAUUCCUUGUCGGGUAAGUUCCGACCUGCACGAAUGGCGUAAUGAUGGCCAGGCUGUCUCCACCCGAGACUCAGUGAAAUUGAACUCGCUGUGAAGAUGCAGUGUACCCGCGGCAAGACGGAAAGACCCCGUGAACCUUUACUACAGCUUGACACUGAACAUUGAGCCUUGAUGUGUAGGAUAGGUGGGAGGCUUUGAAGCGUG